rnacentral:rRNA from 1 species
CAGUCGCCGCGGUAAUACGUAGGGUGCGAGCGUUAAUCGGAAUUACUGGGCGUAAAGCGUGCGCAGGCGGUUAUGCAAGACAGAUGUGAAAUCCCCGGGCUUAACCUGGGAACUGCAUUUGUGACUGCAUGGCUAGAGUGCGGCAGAGGGGGAUGGAAUUCCGCGUGUAGCAGUGAAAUGCGUAGAUAUGCGGAGGAACACCGAUGGCGAAGGCAAUCCCCUGGGCCUGCACUGACGCUCAUGCACGAAAGCGUGGGGAGCAAACAGGAUUAGAUACCCGAGUAGUCCCUGUCUCUUAUAC